ACGCUCGACACCUACGGGGAGACAGCAGGUGGGGAAUAUUGCACAAUGGGGGAAACCCUGAUGCAGCGACGCCGCGUGGAGGAAGAAGGUCUUCGGAUUGUAAACUCCUGUUGUUGGGGAAAAGAGGAUGGUACCCAACAAGGAAGUGACGGCUAACUACGUGCCAGCAGCCACGGUAAUCUGAGCGGGCUGGCAAGGC
rnacentral:rRNA from 1 species